GUACGGGUCGCGUGGCUGCUACAGCCGC
rnacentral:sRNA from 1 species